rnacentral:rRNA from 1 species
UUACCUCAAAUCAGGUAGGAAUACCCGCUGAACUUAAGCAUAUCAAUAAGCGGAGGAAAAGAAACUAACCAGGAUUCCCCUAGUAACGGCGAGCGAAGCGGGAAUAGCUCAAAUUUUAAAUCGGACUUUUGUUCGAGUUGUAAUUUGAAGAGACGUUUUCACGUCAUUUACCAGGUCUAAGUGCUUUGGAAUAAGCCAUCAGAGAGGGUGAGAAUCCCGUCUUUGAUCUGGUUAUUGGCGGUACGAUACGUCCUCUAAGAGUCGAGUUGUUUGGGAUUGCAGCUCAAAAUGGGUGGUAAAUUCCAUCUAAGGCUAAAUAUAGGCGAGAGACCGAUAGCGAACAAGUACCGUGAGGGAAAGAUGAAAAGCACUUUGAAAAGAGAGUUAAAUAGUGCGUGAAAUUGUUGAAAGGGAAACGAUUGAAGCCAGUCGUGCCGGCGGAAAAUCAACUUAUAGGCUUCUAUGAGUGCACUUUUUCGCAAGGCAGGUUAGCAUCGGUUUCAGUUGCGUUAUAGUAAUCAUGGGAAGGUAGCUUCUUCGGAAGUGUUAUAGCCUGUGGUAGAUGACGUGACAGAGACCGAGGAUUGCAGCGAAUGCCUUUUAGGCUACGUGUCUGGUCUCUGGCUAUCAGUAACCUGCUCGUCAGCUUGCUGAAGAACUCGUUAAGGAUUUUCAAAGGUUCAGAACGCGAUAAAUUCGCUAAGGAUGCUGACGUAAUGGCUUUAAACGACCCGUCUUGAAACACGGACCAAGGAGUCUAACAUGUGUGCGAGUGUU